rnacentral:rRNA from 1 species
UACGAAGGGGGCUAGCGUUGCUCGGAAUCACUGGGCGUAAAGCGUGCGCAGGCGGUUUUGUAAGUCUGUCGUGAAAUCCCCGGGCUCAACCUGGGAAUUGCGAUGGAGUCUGCAAGGCUAGAAUCUGGCAGAGGGGGGUAGAAUUCCACGUGUAGCAGUGAAAUGCGUAGAGAUGUGGAGGAACACCGAUGGCGAAGGCAGCCCCCUGGGUCAAGAUUGACGCUCAUGCACGAAAGCGUGGGGAGCAAACAGG